rnacentral:lncRNA from 1 species
AGUGGUACCCCCAGUCCUCCUGCUCUCGCCAGACUGGGACCAGCAGUGGAGUGAAUAUUCAGGAAAAACACUGGUUUAGUGUUGAACUACUAACAGUGAAAAUGCAAGUCAUAAUUAUUGAGAGGCAGCAGUCUGACCAGGAUCUUGAGGGAGAGACAGCAGGUCAGGACACCACCCUGAGGGUCACCCUCCGCCACCCCAACAAAAGGAAGGAGAUCCCCUCUCCACCUGGACCAGGGUUAUCAGUAGCUCUUCGUCAUCCUCCUCUUCCUCACAGGCUCCAGCAGGCAGAGAAGAGGAGGAGGAAGGCAGUCGGGACAGCCUGUCCGUCUCCCCGAGAGUGUGUCAAUCCCAGAUUGGACCGAUCACAUCCCUGCAGGAUCGAUGAAGACCAGCAUCACCUGUGAGGGAAACCCAGUGAAGGAGAGACUCACCUGCUCUACACUCACCUGCCUGGCUGAUGGGGGGGUCCCCUGUCCCCCUGUCCUCUACCUGCAGGUCUGGAGGCACCCUCUCCAGUCCUGGCUGCCUGGUCCCAUUUCCUAUCAUCAGGGGGAGCAGCCCCCACAUUCCCAGUCCCUCCUGACCUGUCCUGGAGCUUCCCAAACCCAGUUUGCAAUUGUGUAGGACUCUGUGUGUGUUUGUGUGUAGGUGGAGCAGGGUUGGGGUGGCGCCUGUCUGUCUCUCAGUGUGUGAGUCAGCAUCGACUCCUGACCCAAGACUCAGCUCCCACAGCGAAUCCCAGAGUCCAGGCCAGGACUGGGAGCAGACCGGUCAGGGGCGAGUUCAGGAGAUCCACUUCAGACCUCUGCUGGCUCUCUUCCUGAAGAGCUUCCUGAGAACCUGCUGGAAGGCCCCUCUGAGACACCCGUCCACAAACACGACCACAUGAGCCCACAGACAGUCCUCACCAGCCCACUGCCUGCAGGUGCACCCCCAUCCAUCACUAGAACCCCAACCUGCCCUGGUCACUCCACACUCGCCAUUUCACACCGACGUCUCGCACAAUAACCGACAUUCGUGCAAAACUCCACCUGGUGUACAGAAAACACUGGUUCUGACUGAAAAUCAUUGAUAUCUUGCUAGCAAACAUACUCCACUAUAUUGCAAAGGAUGAGAUUUUCCUAUAAAGUAUUAAGAAACAACACACAUCUACAGCCUAGGUGUUGAUUUAUAAGAGAAGCCUGUAAAACAAACCAGCAGGACUCAGUUUUCAGGGAGAAGCUGUGGAGUGAAAAUGACUCAAGACAGAAACAGAACUGAGAACAGUCCCUCUGUCUCAGCUACACUCUCUCUGACUCACUCAUGUUAAUGUGUAUCAGAAAAACCUGUUUUUUUGAGAGGGUGUAAUGUAGCGACCUCUGAAUACAUGUUUUUUCUUUAACAGUGAAGGAAUUUACAAACAACACAAAGUAAAAAUCUACUGCUUUCAUCUUCCGGAUGUUUUUAUAUCAUGAGCUAUUCGCAUUAUGCCAGCACGGAUAACACCAAUACGGUCUUUGAAAGAAAUAAUGUCACAGACCUGUUUUAUUGAUGACUUUAAGAGCAGCUGUGUGCAUCUUCCGCUAUUUAAUGUUUUGUUUGUUUUUCCAGCAGUGAAACUAUUUUGUAAUAAACGAGUCAACAGUGCAACGUUAACAAAAACACUUCAGAUAGAAACUGCACAACGGGUGAAUAAUAUAUAUACAUACACCAGCUAAACCACAACACAACCUGAACUUUCCAGAACUGUGCUUUGUAACCAAUCAGCAAAAAGCAAAUGAUCCUUUUUUUCCCCAUUACAAAUAUUCACCUCGCGUUGAGAACAGUUUAAAAGACGACGAAGCACGGUGAUAAUUUAUCGUUUUUCCAGCAAAACGCAAUGACAAAAGCAAAUGUUUGUGAAGUUACAUAACUUUUUCCCCUUACCUUGGAGAAAAACGCUUUUUAUUGCAGUAAAAGUGAAGCACCCGGUCAAGUUCAGGCCUUUUGUAAUGAUGACUUUAAGAGCAGCUAGGGGCAUCUGUUGCUAAUUAAUGCUGCACACAAAUAGUUUCUAUUAUAAGGGCAUUGCGUGGUUUUUGUGGGUGGGUGUUGUUAUAUCCAGGGUUGAAAAUGUCAUUUUACAUAACAAAGAUACUUUAAUUGUAGCAUGUAAUUAUCUUUGAACGGUAAUAUUAAAGCCCUAGUCUAUCCAAGACAUAAAAAUGUAAACUGAACCAAAAAAAACGGAUGUUGUUUAUAACACGGACCCAAGCUCAAACAUCAGAAAGUGCCCAUCCCUUUGUCAAGAAGUACAGACACACACUGCACAGCACAUAGUACACACAUCCGACAACACGUGUGUAUUUGCUGACAACGCUGCACUUCUCAGUUUCCAAAUAAAUUAACUGUUUUGC